GGCUAAGAUACUAAAGGCCCGGUUGUUACUAGCUGCUAAGGAUUAUGUAGAGGCAAUUUCGGAAUCAUGCUGAAAAACAAUAAAAAAAUAGCUCUGGAUAAGGGAAAACUUGAAGAUGCGGUUAGCUAUGGAACAAACAGUAAUUUAUAUCUUCCUGCUUAUGCUUUUGAAGGUUUGGGUGCAAGUUUAAAUGAGAGUGACAGUGUCCAUAUGGUAGUUUUCAGUGUGGUUUAGUUGUGUUGUUUAAUGUCCGUGUUCAUCAAAAUGGGAAACAUCCAGCAUUAUACAACCCCCACGAAUAAUAGUGGGUGGAGUCGUCCACGAGUGGAAAGGGUUAUGUCUUGACCCUUCAUUGAUUCAACUAUAAUUUUUUUACUUUCAACAUUGUACAGCUACUGUCAAAAUUUCCCACGUAUUUUGUUGGAGUACAUUCAAGAUAAUACAUGCAUGAAUGUGAAUUAGCUGAACAUGUCGUAGGUUUGAUGUGCCACCUUGCCUCAUGCCAGUUCAGGUGGAGGAUUGCGGAUUGCCCUGAUGAUGCAGCAAGUUACAUACAUAGAGGUUGCAGCACAGCCCGUUAUGAUUCUGUACAGCGGCCGGUCUUAUUUCUCUUGCAUACAGAGAUGAAAAUGCUUGAAAGAUUACAAGAGAAAAAGAUACCUGUUCAAUUUGACAAGUGUUGCAAUUUUAAUUUACAGCAGCCAAAGACAAAACGAAUGCAAUCUUGUCCUGGCAUGUUAGCUGCUCUGCUAGCAAAGUACACAGACUUGUAGCGUUUCGCUCAACGGGCCUUCAAUAUAUGAAGAUGUCAUUUUGACAAUAACAGAUGGAUUUGAUUGAUUCUUUUUGGUCUCUGCUAUUAACCUUAAAUGUUUUCUCACUGCUAGCAGUGAUAGUAAUGAGGUAAUGUCCUUUUUACCCUUUGCCACUCUAUUAAUAUUUAAAUAAAACACAACUUAUUUCAGUUCUUAAGAAGAUAGCAUGGUUUUGCAGUUAUAUCAUACAUAGAUACGUUUAUGUGCAUUUAUACCAUAUUUAUUACACAAGUGUGUCAUCCUUUAUUGUUUAGGAUUGUUGUUGCCGCAAAAGAGAUCAAUGUGGGAAUUCUCAGUCGAUCAGACUAUAAAUAAAACAUUGGAAGCUAAUAUUCCUUCGAUUAAUCAUUUGAAUCUGAUCUUUUCUACUUUAUCGUUUAGGCUUGUGUAUUGAUUAUUUUCCCGUUUUCCCUUUGCUCAAAUGGCUUUUCUUUUGUUGUGUUUUUCAGGUGAGUUAAAGAGUCGAUGUCAAGAAGGCAAAACCAUAGGCAGGCGGUGUUGAAUAUCAACUACAAAUAUUGUAAUUAUACAUGUAGUGGCCGUAAUAUUUUGUAAUAGUUACCAAAUUCCUAACGUGUGCGCGACAUGAAAAGUUUACAACUCUUCUUGUAGCGAAGACCUUUAAUAUCAUACUGCUUUUUGUAUGAUUUUACCGAA